GACGAACGCUGGCGGCGUGCUUAACACAUGCAAGUCGAACGAGGCCCCUUCUUCGGAAGGGUGUCCUAGUGGCGAACGGGUGAGUAACACGUGGGCAACCUGCCCCCGGCUCGGGGAUAACCCCAAGAAAUUGGGGCUAAUACCGGAUACGACCGCUGACCGCCUGGUCCGGGGGGGGAAAGAUUUAUCGGCUGGGGAUGGGCCCGCGGCCUAUCAGCUUGUUGGUGGGGUAGUGGCCUACCAAGGCGACGACGGGUAGCCGGCCUGAGAGGGUGACCGGCCACACUGGGACUGAGACACGGCCCAGACUCCUACGGGAGGCAGCAGUGGGGAAUAUUGCGCAAUGGGCGGAAGCCUGACGCAGCGACGCCGCGUGGGGGAUGACGGCCUUCGGGUUGUAAACCUCUUUCAGCAGGGACGAAGCGCAAGUGACGGUACCUGCAGAAGAAGCACCGGCCAACUACGUGCCAGCAGCCGCCGUAACAC
rnacentral:rRNA from 1 species